rnacentral:lncRNA from 1 species
CAGGGCUGCUUCCCUGAAUUCAGCUGGUAAUUCCCGAAACACGUAAACAGUCUCACGACACAACAGGCGGGCUAUUCUGACCCCUCGAUGCUACCCAUUCCAGAGAUCCGCCACAAUGCCGUACGCUCUCUUCAUGGUGUGUCUGUGUUUCAUGGUACGAUAACGUCUUCAUGAUGCGUCUGUGUUUCAUGGUACGAUAACGCUAGCGAAGCAAAAAGAGGCGGGGACUCGACGAAGGACUACGAGCCAGUCUGAUUUUCCUCGAUUUCGUACGCUUUGUCAAUCCGGUUGGUUGACUACAGUUACAAAGUGAAAGAGCGGAGUUUGUAAUGGACUCUGACCGCACCAGUGAAUCCGAACAUGGUUUUUUCGUCCCUUGCGAGCAAUGCCGUUGCUAAUUGGACAGCUGGUGACAGCCACUGUUUUUUGUUUGCUCAGUAUUGUCACUCAUGACUACCAUGAGGACAAAGCGCGUUUCGCUUUUUGCUGACGGUGGCGAAAAUAAAAGGCAUUCUUGGUCAACCGCUGAGUAGGCCCUGAAUAUCCCUUACUCGUUUCUUCCUUGUCGCUUCUUGGCCUGCAAACAACUAUGGUUGUCUGUCUGCUAUUUUUACUGCGUCUGCCAUCCCCACAAAGUCCAUCAUUCGAAGCAGAUACUUGCUCAUAUAUCAAGAUCACGAUUAUGGAAGAGGAUUUUCGGAAUGCGUGUCUCUCUUCUUCGGAUGUUCGGAUGUAGCCUGACCGUCGUUGAAGCCCCACCGGCAAUUUUCUCCAGGCGCUCACUGAUCUCUGGUGAAUCCCUGUUGUGGUGAUUAUUUAUGUGUUGAUCAGCUUCUCAAGCCCGUCAAUUUACCUUUGCAUCAGCGGAAACAAGGCUUUGUUUGAGAAUAAGCGACCGCAAAUUCAACGAUGGUAGACGAAGCAUCGAUGCGGUGGUCGUGGUUUCUGCCACAUCGAUGGCAACCAUGCCAUCAGUUGUUAGAUAUAACAGUAACUGUUUCGAAGCACCCGUUGUAUCAGAAAUAACAACUCGAUUUAUUUUCUUUGGUAAACAGAGCAUAUUCGACGG